CCCUUAGAUGUUCUGGGCUGCACGCGUGCUACAAUGGCGUUUCCAGCAAGUCUGCGAACCCGAGAGGGCCAGCGGAUCUUCGAAUUGGCGUCGUGAUCGGGACAGUCGAUUGCAAUUAUUUGACUCAAACGAGGAAUUCCUUGUAAUCGCGAUUCAUCAUAUCGCGCUGAAUACGUCCCUGCCCUUUGUACACACCGCCCGUCGCUCCUACCGAUUGAGCGAUCCGGUAAAUGUUUUGGAUUGGUGCCGGGGCGGCUAGCUGCCGGUCGCUACGAAAUUUUAUGAACCUUAUCGCUUAGAGGAAGGAAAAGUCGUAACA
rnacentral:rRNA from 1 species